rnacentral:tRNA from 1 species
GGGGCCAUAGUUUAAUUGGAAGAACGCCUGCUUUGCAUGUAGGAAAUUAGGAGUUCAAAUCUCCUUGGCUCCA